GAGACAGCAGCCGCCACGGUAAUGCGGAGGGAGCUAGCGUUGUUCGGAAUUACUGGGCGUAAAGGGCGCGUAGGCGGCGAUCAAAGUCAGGCGUGAAAUUCCCGGGCUCAACCUGGGGGCUGCGUCUGAUACUUGAUUGCUAGAGUGGGGAAGAGGGUCGUGGAAUUCCCAGUGUAGAGGCGAAAUUCGUAGAUAUUGGGAAGAACACCGGUGGCGAAGGCGGCGACCUGGUCCUUGACUGACGCUGAGGCGCGAAAGCGUGGGGAGCAAACAGGAUUAGAUACCCCUGUAGUCCCUGUCUCUUAUAC
rnacentral:rRNA from 1 species